rnacentral:rRNA from 1 species
CGUCUAUAUACGUAUAGCAUAUCAAUAAGCGGAGGAAAAGAAACUAACUAGGAUUCCCUCAGUAACGGCGAGUGAAGCGGGAAGAGCUCAAAUUUGAAAUCUUCAAGGUUCUACCUUGACGAAUUGUAGUUUAAAGAAGUGUUUUCUGUUGGAGUUUUGGUAAAAGUUCUUUGGAAUAGGACAUCAUAGAGGGUGAGAAUCCCGUAUUUGACCAUUUCUUCCAGCUGUGUGAUACACUUUCAAAGAGUCGGAUUGUUUGGGAAUGCAGUCCAAAAUGGGUGGUAAAUUUCAUCUAAAGCUAAAUAUUGGCGAGAGACCGAUAGCGAACAAGUACCGUGAGGGAAAGAUGAAAAGAACUUUGAAAAGAGAGUUAAACAGUACGUGAAAUUGUCAAAAGGGAAGCGUUUGACACCAGUGUUGUUUUCUCGAAAAUCAAUUAAAAAUGGCAGGAUUUUGUGUUGUAUUGACUUUAUCAGCUUUCUGCACUUUUUUCCUAUCUUUUUUAAUGCACUUUUCGUUUAACAAGUCAACAUCAAUUUCUUUUGUUGUAAAAGAGUCAUUGGAAGGUGGCUUUCUUUUCGGAGAAAGUGUUUAUAGCCUUUGGACUUCUGCAGUCGGAGAGAUUGAGGUCUGCAGCGUAGAUCCUUCGGGGUUAGAUGCAUUUGUGCUAAGUUAUAGCCUUUCAUAGACAACUUGUUGACUAUGAUCAGUCAUGUAGCUUACUCGCUUAUGUCAUUUUACCUACGCUUAGGAUGUUGACGAUCAGCUGAGCGCG